GACGAACGCUGGCGGCGUGCCUAAUACAUGCAAGUCGAGCGAGCGGAACUAACAGAUUUACUUCGGUAAUGACGUUAGGAAAGCGAGCGGCGGAUGGGUGAGUAACACGUGGGGAACCUGCCCCAUAGUCUGGGAUACCACUUGGAAACAGGUGCUAAUACCGGAUAAGAAAGCAGAUCGCAUGAUCAGCUUUUAAAAGGCGGCGUAAGCUGUCGCUAUGGGAUGGCCCCGCGGUGCAUUAGCUAGUUGGUAAGGUAAAGGCUUACCAAGGCGAUGAUGCAUAGCCGAGUUGAGAGACUGAUCGGCCACAUUGGGACUGAGACACGGCCCAAACUCCUACGGGAGGCAGCAGUAGGGAAUCUUCCACAAUGGACGCAAGUCUGAUGGAGCAACGCCGCGUGAGUGAAGAAGGUUUUCGGAUCGUAAAGCUCUGUUGUUGGUGAAGAAGGAUAGAGGUAGUAACUGGCCUUUAUUUGGCGGUAAUCAACCAGAAAGUCACGGCUAACUACGUGCCAGCAGCCGCGGUAAUACGUAGGUGGCAAGCGUUGUCCGGAUUUAUUGGGCGUAAAGCGAGCGCAGGCGGAAGAAUAAGUCUGAUGUGAAAGCCCUCGGCUUAACCGAGGAACUGCACCGGAAACUGUUUUUCUUGAGUGCAGAAGAGGAGAGUGGAACUCCAUGUGUAGCGGUGGAAUGCGUAGAUAUAUGGAAGAACACCAGUGGCGAAGGCGGCUCUCUGGUCUGCAACUGACGCUGAGGCUCGAAAGCAUGGGUAGCGAACAGGAUUAGAUACCCUGGUAGUCCAUGCCGUAAACGAUGAGUGCUAAGUGUUGGGAGGUUUCCGCCUCUCAGUGCUGCAGCUAACGCAUUAAGCACUCCGCCUGGGGAGUACGACCGCAAGGUUGAAACCCAAAGGAAUUGACGGGGGCCCGCACAAGCGGUGGAGCAUGUGGUUUAAUUCGAAGCAACGCGAAGAACCUUACCAGGUCUUGACACCUAGUGCCAUUUGUAGAGAUACAAAGUUCCCUUCGGGGACGCUAAGACAGGUGGUGCAUGGCUGUCGUCAGCUCGUGUCGUGAGAUGUUGGGUUAAGUCCCGCAACGAGCGCAACCCUUGUUAUUAGUUGCCAGCAUUAAGUUGGGCACUCUAAUGAGACUGCCGGUGACAAACCGGAGGAAGGUGGGGAUGGCGUCAAGUCAUCAUGCCCCUUAUGACCUGGGCUACACACGUGCUACAAUGGGCAGUACAACGAGAAGCGAGCCUGCGAAGGCAAGCGGACCUCUGAAAGCUGUUCUCAGUUCGGACUGCAGUCUGCAACUCGACUGCACGAAGCUGGAAUCGCUAGUAAUCGCGGAUCAGCACGCCGCGGUGAAUACGUUCCCGGGCCU
rnacentral:rRNA from 1 species